rnacentral:rRNA from 1 species
GAUGAACGCUGGCGGCGUGCUUAACACAUGCAAGUCGAACGAAGCAUUUGCGACAGAUUUUUUCGGAAUGAAGUUGCUUAUGACUGAGUGGCGGACGGGUGAGUAACGCGUGGGUAACCUGCCUUGUACUGGGGGAUAGCAGCUGGAAACGGCUGGUAAUACCGCAUAAGCGCACAAUGUUGCAUGACAUGGUGUGAAAAACUCCGGUGGUAUAAGAUGGACCCGCGUCUGAUUAGCUAGUUGGUGAGAUAACAGCCCACCAAGGCGACGAUCAGUAGCCGACCUGAGAGGGUGACCGGCCACAUUGGGACUGAGACACUGCCCAGACUCCUACGGGAGGCAGCAGUGGGGAAUAUUGCACAAUGGAGGAAACUCUGAUGCAGCGACGCCGCGGGAGUGAAGAAGUAAUUCGUUAUGUAAAGCUCUAUCAGCAGGGAAGAUAGUGACGGUACCUGACUAAGAAGCUCCGGCUAAAUACGUG